CAGCACUAUUUAUGAUCCUUAACUGAUCCAGAAGAGCUGACAGGAUAAAAGAGGAGCCUGUCUCUGUUCCUUUGCAAUUAGGCACCGGGCUCCCAAGCAUCUGUUUUCAGGGGAGAUCACUGCUGGUGAUUGUGUGCCUUGUGUUUUCUUCCCAGAGAUGCUGGAGCCAGCCUGGAGAGCAGGGCUGGGAAAGGGCUGCUGAAACGAUGAAAGAAAUGAAGCUGGUGCCUUUGGAGGGGAGACAAGGAAAUCCUGGCUUAAUUAAAUUAGCAGAAUGAAAGCUGAGGAAGAUAGCUGCCUAUAAAUACACUGGUGGAAGAUGAGGAGGGCAGAGCAGCACUGGAGGAGAACUAUUUAUGCCCGAGGAUAGUGUUGGCACAAGAACAAAUGUACAUAAACUGGCCCAGAAUAAAUUCAGCCUGGAAACUGGAAGAUUGUUUCUGACAAUUAGAGAGCAAUCGGACUAUGGAGCAGCCUUCCUGUGGGAAUAGAGGGGGAUAAAACCCUUCCUGCUUUUAGUAGGAGGGGCAGGUCCGAUGACCAGGGAUGCCAUGCAGCCCAACACUCCUUCUCUUUUCUUUAUUUUCCUGUGAUUUCUGCCUCAGCCUCCUAUUUAUGCCAAUUCUCAUCACGUCCCACCCUCCUUUCUGUCGCCUGAUAUGGAUCUCAGUUGCUGGCUUUGCUCCCUUCUGAUGCAGGUGGCUUUCUUCUAACAGUAAUAAAUUCUCCACAUGGUCAGGAGCCUGCAGCACUCUUGGUGCUUUUUAGUUUUCCUUUUUUUUUUUUAAUCUCUGUGCCCAAUCCUUCUUUGUCCAUUUGUCCUUCUUGCAUGGAGGGGUCCAGAUGGGGGACAGUCGGUGUCUUCCAACCAAGGUGUCUCUGCCAAGCCCCACACAGUGCCUGUGCUGGCUCACAAGUGACUCAGUAUUUGAUCAAUACUGCUGGUGGCUGUUGGUGCAGCAACUGAUGGGAAGCUGGAGGAGAAUUAUUCCCGUGAACGUCUUGAGAAAAAUCAGUCAGAGAAGGCUGAGGGAAGAUAAAUGUCAUCAGUCAUCAGCUGGCACGGCUUGUACAAGACACAUUUUUCUCUCCCUGCUGCUGAGCUGGAGCCUCUCUGGAGGGAGCAGGGAAAGCACGGGGAGGACGAAGGGGAGCUGUGAAUCCUGAACUCCUCCUGUCCCUCGGGUGGCUCUGUCAGUGCUGGGAGAAAAAUGUGAGUAAAGCUGGGGAAAACGAGGCGUGUGACCACCCCAGGCAGCCAAAGCAGGGAGAUAAAUGGGUGCAAAAAAACCACCAAUCCUCCAAAAGUUAUUCCAGCUGCUCCCAAGCAAGGUGGGGAGAAAGCAGUGUGCUGAAAGGGUCAGGGCAAGGGGAGAGGAUGUGGAGCUGCUUCUCACCCAGCUCCCAGGUAGUUUAAAACUAAUGGUGAGGAACAAUUCCAAUUAAUUCCAGUCCCCAGGGCCAAGGAAUUGUUUCAGUGCUGGCCUGGGCAGGAGCAGGCAGGGAUGGGGAUUUUCAUCCCAAGAGACAGGUGUGUGUCCUGGGAGCCAAAUUCUGAUCUGAGUGAGCCUCCCCUGCCCUGAGUUUCAAUGGGAGAUAAAAUUAUGAGUCUCCUCUUCCCUGAAACCCUGGUUCUUGCUUCUCUAUGUCCCUUGGCAGGGCAAGAGAAGGUGAUUCUCUGCUCAGAUCUAUUCAGACAUUUCCGUGGGGAUAUUCCAAAAUCUCUUCUGUGUAUUUAACAGUCUUACCCAUUAUCUUAUCCCGUCUCUCCUGGAGCUCAGACAACCUCUUGGCAUCCUGCAGGAAGUGAUCUCCCAGUCCAGAGGCCUCUGUUCCAUGGGAAGUGGUAGAGCCACCGUCCCUGGAAGAAUUUAAAAGUUGUAUGGAUGUGGCCCUUGAAGACCUGGGUUGGUGCUGGAUUAGGCAGUGCUGGGGAAAUUCUCAGACUUGAUCCUGGAGGGCUUUUCCAACCUUAAUUAAUCUGUGAAGAACCAUUUAUCCCUUUCCAACAGCAUCCCCAAGCCAUGGGCUCUGUCAAAACACCUCCUGGGCGAGGCCUAUCCUGGUAUUUGUGCUCUCAGUUCACCCCAGGGAGAAAAGGACAGAUCCUGCUGAAUCGAGGAUGGCUUUGGGUCAUGCAGGUAAAACUCCACCACCAAACUCUGCUAGGAAAACAUAACUCCGUUCAAAUAACUUGCAAAGUGAACUGAGCUCCCCUCACCUCUGGAAAACGACUCCUGAGCUUGCUGCGAUCCUCAGCGUCCUGGGGUAAAGCAGGUAUUGGAAAUCAUUCCCUGCCUCAGCAUUUGUUCUUGGCCUUGUUCUGCUCAGUAGCUGAGCUGUGCAGACUGGCAGCUCCUGUGACAAAGACCGUGGGGUGUCCCCUUCCCCUUCCCAAACAUGCCAGCAGUCAGUGGGGUGGGAUGAGUCCUGCAAUUACCCUAUUACAUGGGAUUACCUGAUUUUGGAGCAUUUCUAACCCUUGCCUCCCCCAGCAAUUAAACUUAGUGGCUCUGAGGGAGAACGGACCCAGGCAGAGGAGGUGGGUCAGAUUUAAUCUCCUUGUAUUGAGUUCACACAUAAAUAAUUACCUGGGAACUUGCUGCUUCGAUCUGCCCCACUGACCAACCUCGGCCACGGCCUGGGAAAUACUCCUCAGUGAGGUGAUUUGCAUAGGAUGAGCCAGAGGAGAAGUGCCAAGGAAAAGAAGGAUUUUAUUUAUUAUUUUUUAAACGCAUCAGGCAGCAUUUGCAGCAUUUGCCCAGAGGGUAUUCAGUUCUGGUAUCGCUAUUUUCGUGGUGGAUUCUUUGCAGUGAUUAAUUGAAAGUGCCAGCAUCAGGAAUCAUGGGAACAUAUGAGAAACCCAGUUUCUCUUUUAAAAUAGAAGUUUUCUUCCCAGCGCGACAGAAAAAAAAAAACCUGGAGAAAGGUCAUUAUUAAAGAGAUGCAAAACUCCUCUCUGCUUCUCAUCUAAUCUCGUAAUUUUUCUUAAACUGGAGGAGAAGAAACUCUCUCUCUCUUGAAGUGCACCAGAUGGUUGCAUAUCACCAAAAUGGAAAAGCUGGCAUCAUCCAACCUUUGGGAGCAGAUGCCCUGAUUUUCCACACAGGCAUGGCAGCCACCACCUCUCCUGUGUCUUUGGAGAGCUUUCCUGGCAAAGUUGGGCUGGUGGCUCCCAAACCAGUAAGUAACUGAAGUGUGAGGACUGGGGAGGAUGUCUCCACCCAUCCCUUCCCUGGAUAUAAACAGAAAUUUCCCCCUUUCCCACCCAGCAGUCUGGCACUGAGCUGCUCUUGGUCAGGCUGGACAAAGCCAAGCUUUGUCCAAAUCAGUCCCAGACAGGGACUAAUUUAGGAUUGAAGUCACUCAGGUGUUCAAGCAGUUCAGGUUUGGAACAGCAGGUCCAGCAUGCUGGGGGUCACACCCACCACAUUUUCCCUUAUCCACUCGCUCAGGGCCAUGGAAUGAUGGAAUUGUUUAGGUUGGGAGAGAGCAGAGCUGGCUGUACCCUCCUGUCAGAGAGCUGUGGAGAGCAAGAAGGUCCCACCUGAGCCUCCUGUUCUCCAGGCUGAGCCCCCUCAGCUGCUCCCAGAGCUCCAGACCCUUCCCCAAAUCAAUUCCCUUCUCUGGACAUGCUCCAGCCCCUCAGUUCCUUCCUGAAUGGACAGGCUGGAGUGAGGGUUUGAGGUGCCUCAGCAGUGCCCAGCACAGCGGGACAAUGUGUGAGGCAUCAGCUUGGAGUGGGAUUUCAUGGAUGUGUCCACACAAACUCUGCUUCGUUCCUAGUGAGCCAUCCCUGCCUCUACAAGUCACAUCCCCACAUCCCCACGCCUAUCCCAAAGCUUUUCCAUCCUUUUCUGUGCAUCCCUCCCCUCUCAUUCAUCCUGUUGUUUUAGCCACCAUGGGCCAAAUCCUCUCCAUAGUGGCAAAUCUCUCAGAAGCUGAGGGUUUGUAGUUAUUUACCAGGGAAAGGAUAACAAAAAACAUCAUUCUGCCCUUUCCCUCCACAUUUACCAAAUGGAUUUUUGAGCUGCUCGCAGUCAGAUUGCAAUAAAUACACUUGAAAUCCCCUGCAUGUAAUGGUUGAUGAAUCCUGGAUCAUAAUUCUGCUUGGGUUGGGUUUGCUGGCUGCUGCUGGGCCGUGUUUUCCUUUCUCCAGCCCUUCAUCCUGCACAACUCUCUGGUGGAGAGUAAACUGGGAAUAAAUUGGGAAUAAUGGAAGCUCUGCUGACUAAAUUUCACUUGUCAGUCGGAAAAUUUCGUGCUGGGCGUGAAGUUCUCGCAAAUAGCACAAGGUAAGAAGAAACAGAAUAUUGACCUGGGUGGGAGCAGCUUUGCUAAUCCCCCAGGGGUCUGAGCCUUGGGAAGGAAGAGCAGCUUGGGAAGAAGGAACAUCCACCAGCAGGGCAACACCUCUUGGAUGGGUGUCAUAGUCAGGUAGGAAAAUUACAGAAGAAAGGCCCCAUGAAAUCAGGCUGAAAUUGCCAAAGCUGGCCUGUCAUUUCUUCUAAGUGCAGCUAACAAGCAAUUUGCAAGUUCCCAUGUGAAGCUAUUUUGAGAAUGAGAAGUUCCUUUAACACAACAAUCUAUUCUGAGAGUGAAAAACAAAUGUACCUGUGCAACCAAUGAGAUUUAUUCCAUGAGAACCCACAAAGGAAGAAUGUAAACAUAUCUAGAGAGAGAAAAUUUGAUUGACAUACACAGUAUGAAUGAACUGAAUUUCACUGCAUUGCUGACCAGCUAGGUUUAACACACUGCCUUCUGGUAUUUCCUACAAAUAUGAGCUUUGUGAAUAAAGAAUUGGCUUUCUGCACGAGGAAAAUGGAGUCUCAGCUGGUUUAUUCCAGCAGAUGGGGAUGGGGAUGAUUCCAGCUGAAUGACCUUAGCACAACCCCAUCCCUGCAGCCACCAUCCCCAAAACCACAGUGGCAAAGGCAGCGGGAGGGGUUUGGGCAGACAGGGAGAUCCCCUGGGAUGAAAAGUGGGAGCUGGAGCUCGGUGCAACACCCAGGCAGGAAAAUCCAUGCCUGCCUCAGACUGAUGAUCUGUCGGGGGAAAUGGAGCACGGAUAUUUUUAAAACGUGGGGCCAUUAAGCUCUCCAAAUGGGCCAGCUCACCUGCUAUUUUAACAACACCUUGUGACAACAUCUUCUUUUAUAAGCGGUCCUUUCGGACUUAUUAACUCUGAGCUGUCUCAUCCCAUUUGGAGAGAGGAAAAUACCAUCGAGUUGACCCCUGAAACUGUUUAAUGAGCUUUUAUGGGGCAUGGGAAAUUUAAGCACCAGCCCAGGACUUUGGGGAGUCAAAAAAUAAAAAGCUGGAUCAGGAGUGCUGGUAUUUACACUGCUUUUUGUUUUCCUGCUCUUCCCUCUGCAUGACCUUGUCUUUAUUGUGGGAUGGGUGUCCAUGAGUUUCAUCUGGAAUCAGUGACUGUAACAUGAUGAAGAGGAUGGGAAUAUUUAAAGUGCCAUCCUGGCAAUGUGAAGUGUCUGCAACUGUGGCACAUCCCCCCUUUUUUUUUCUUUUUUCUUUUUUUUUUCUUUUUUUUUGCCAAAAACCAUUUUCCUUUAAAAAUACACCCCCUGUGAGUGUGCCUUUGGGCAAGGGGAGAGUCAGUACCAAGAGAAACAAGGAUGAGGUCAUGGAAAAGGGAAAGCCAGCUCAGUCUCACAUCUGGGAAUUGGCUGCCAGUGUGGAAGAAGGGUGGAAAAAGCGACUUUGGGGCUUCCCAGCCUAUUGCUGCUGGUGGGGGCAGCUCAAGGAUAGGGAGAGGAUCGGAAACUCAGCUCUGCACUGGGUUUUUUUUCCCAAACAAACUUAUUUCAGACAGUAAUAAUAAUAAUAUGAGAACAAUAAUAGGCUUUAGGAAAAAAAAAGUCUUGUAAUGAGACUCUGGGAAGCAGGAGAGUUUUCCCAGAGGAUCCUGUGAUGCUCCAUCCACCUGCAGAGGCUUCAGCCACACCAGGGCUGGGAUUCCUUGCCCUGGAAUGGCCCUGCUCUCAGCUCCAAAGGAGGCUUGUGGGGGCUGCUGGUGGGUAGCAGGUGCUGGGUGGGUGCUCAGAGCCUCUUCUGGGCCCCGUGGGAUGCACAGGUUGGAGAUCCAGCAGUUCUGGAACGUCUGUGAGGGUUCAGUGUCUGUCACAGAGAGGUUUUUUUUUUACAGAUAGUCCUUAGUAAUAACAAUUUGCUGAGGUCCCUGCUCUGCUUCUAAGGGUUUAUAUUUUCCUAUGGUGAGCACCUUCUAUUUUUCACCCUUAGGAAUGAAAAAGGAAACCUUGGUCCUAAUUCUUGGCAGAGCAUUCUCCAAAGUGCUUGUGCUCUGCCUUGCUCCCCUUUUAUUUACGUUACAAUCAUAGCAGAGCUUUGCUUGGAAAAACUGAGAAAGUAGCCAAGAAGAAUACACACAACUGCCCAGGAGAGAUAAUCAGUUGUUAAAACAUGCCUGCUGCUCUGAUUAGAAAGGAAAUGGAAUUGGGUUUAAAGUGGAAUUAACUGAACGCUCCCUUAUCUUGUCCAUCUCCUCUACUUGCCCAGCCCUUCUGGGCAAAUAUGAUGGAAAUGAAAAGAGAAAGCUGAUCUCUGAAACCCCCUCUCCUUGGGCCUGAGCCAGGGAAAGACAUCCCUUCCAGUCUGCUCAUCCCAAAUGUUCCUCCAGCUCGGCUACCACCAGUUACAGAGGUUCUCGCACAUCUCGUGUUUCUCCAGUGCCUUGUACCAAUUUGUGCCCUCCAGGGAAGAGGCAGAAAUGGAUGGAUUGUGCCUAAAAGUGCCGCCAGAGCCCCAUCCCGUCACGCUCAGACAAAAUCCUCAGAAAUUCCACCUUGAAACCACACUGGAAACACCAGGGGGAAAGUACAAGACAAGCAGUCCUUGGGAAUGUAUGGAAUUGACACAGAAGUCAUGGAGCAACUGAGCAGUGACAGGGCUGGAAAGGUAUGAGGGUUUGUGCUCGUUCAGGUAGGGAUGGGAAUGAAGAUAUUUUAUUUUUAGAAGGUAAAGAAUGAACUUAUUAACAAAUAGUUUUGUUUUGUUUUGGUUUGGUUUUUUUUAAACUAGGAUUUUUAAGGUGAAAUAUAAUUAGUUGUAAACUUUUUACACUAUUGGUACGCUUAGACUUAGUUCAGUGCGGCAGAAGAAGAAAUCUAUAAAAAAUAUGAACAGAAAGAGAAAAAAUAAAUUGUUUACAUUCUUCCCAAA